UUGGCUUCAUUUUUUUUUUCAUUAAUUAGCAUACAUUAAAUUAAAUUAAUGUAUGUUGUUAAAUGAAGUCGAAUAUAAAAUGUUCCCCUCGCUAUCCAGUGUCUACUUUUUAUGUUGCAUUUGGACGUUGGGAAACUACAUCU
rnacentral:snoRNA from 9 species